rnacentral:rRNA from 1 species
CCUACGAGCGGCAGCAGUGAGGAAUAUUGGUCAAUGGGCGAGCGCCUGAACCCGCCAAGUCGCGUGAGGGAGUACUUCCCUAUGGGUUGUAAACCUCUUUUGUCGGGGAGCAAAAGCCGGACGUUUCCGGCUGUUAGAGUACCCGAAGAAAAAGCAUCGGCUAACUCCGUGCCAGCAGCCGCGGUAAUACGGAGGAUGCGAGCGUUAUCCGGAUUUAUUGGGUUUAACGGGUGCGCAGGCGGAUUUUUAAGUCAGCGGUCAAAUCGUGGGGCUCAACCCCAUCCAGCCGUUGAAACUGGGGAUCUAGAGUGUGCGAGAGGUAUGCGGAAUGCGUGGUGUAGCGGUGAAAUGCAUAGAUAUCACGCAGAACCCCGAUUGCGAAGGCAGCAUACCGGUGCACAACUGACGCUCAGGCACGAAAGCGUGGGUAUCGAACAGGAUUAGAUACCCGAGUAGUC